UCCCCUAGAGUGUGAUAGUGCUGGUCCUCAUACGAGGUGUGAAUAGUGUCGGUCCCCAUAAGGUGUGAAUAGUGCUGGUCCCCAUAGAGGUGUGAAUAGUGCUGGUCCCCAUAGAGGUGUGAAUAGUGCUGGUCCCCAUAGAGGUGUGAAUAGUGCUGGUCCCCAUAGAGGUGUGAAUAGGUGGGUCAGUGAUGUGCGGCCCCAUAGAGGUGUGAAUCGUGCUGGUCCCCCAUAGAGGUUGUGAAUAGUGCUGGUCCCCUAAGAGGUGUGAAUAGUGCUGGUCCCUAGAGUUGUGAAUAGUGCUGGUCCCCAUAGAGGUUGAACAGUGCUGGUCCCAUGAGGGUGAAAGCGCUCCUCGAGGUGCAUAACGGUCCCCAUAGAG
rnacentral:lncRNA from 1 species